rnacentral:rRNA from 6 species
UUUCAUUAUUUAAAACGACUCUCGGCAACGGAUAUCUCGGCUCUCGCAUCGAUGAAGAACGUAGCGAAAUGCGAUACUUGGUGUGAAUUGCAGAAUCCCGUGAACCAUCGAGUCUUUGAACGCAAGUUGCGCCCCAAGCCGUUAGGCCGAGGGCACGCCUGCCUGGGUGUCACGCA